rnacentral:rRNA from 1 species
UACGUAGGGUGCGAGCGUUAAUCGGAAUUACUGGGCGUAAAGCGCACGUAGGCGGCUUUGUAAGUUAGAGGUGAAAGCCCGGGGCUCAACUCCGGAACUGCCUUUAAGACUGCAUCGCUUGAAUUGUGGAGAGGUAAGUGGAAUUCCGAGUGUAGAGGUGAAAUUCGUAGAUAUUCGGAAGAACACCAGUGGCGAAGGCGACUUACUGGACACAUAUUGACGCUGAGGUGCGAAAGCGUGGGGAGCAAACAGG